rnacentral:rRNA from 1 species
GAUGAACGCUGGCGGCGUGCCUAAUACAUGCAAGUCGAGCGAACGGACGAGAAGCUUGCUUCUCUGAUGUUAGCGGCGGACGGGUGAGUAACACGUGGAUAACCUACCUAUAAGACUGGGAUAACUUCGGGAAACCGGAGCUAAUACCGGAUGAUAUUUUGAACCGCAUUGUUCAAAAGUGAAAGACGGUCUUGCUGUCACUUAUAGAUGGAUCCGCGCUGCAUUAGCUAGUUGGUAAGGUAACGGCUUACCAAGGCAACGAUGCAUACCCGACCUGAGAGGGUGAUCGGCCACACUGGAACUGAGACACGGUCCAGACUCCUACGGGAGGCAGCAGUAGGGAAUCUUCCGCAAUGGGCGAAAGCCUGACGGAGCAACGCCGCGUGAGUGAUGAAGGUCUUCGGAUCGUAAAACUCUGUUAUUAGGGAAGAACAUAUGUGUAAGUAACUGUGCACAUCUUGACGGUACCUAAUCAGAAAGCCACGGCUAACUACGUG